GGAUAGAGGCCUACCAUGGUGGUAACGGGUAACGGGGUGUUAGGGCACGACACCGGAGAGGGAGCCUGAGAAACGGCUACCACAUCCAAGGAUGGCAGCAGGCGCGCAAAUUACCCAAUCCCGACACGGGGAGGUAGUGACAAUAAAUAACAAUACGGGGUUCUUUCGGAUCUCGUAAUUGGAAUGAGUACAAUUUAAAUCUCUUAACGAGGAACAAUUGGAGGGCAAGUCUGGUGCCAGCAGCCGCGGUAAUUCCAGCUCCAAUAGCGUAUAUUAAAGUUGUUGCAGUUAAAAAGCUCGUAGUUGAAUUUCGGGGUUAGUAGGUUGGUCAUGCCUCUGGUAUGUACUGGUCUCACUGAUUCCUCCUUCCUGAUGAACCGUAAUGCCAUUAAUUUGGUGUUGCGGGGAAUUUGGACUGUUACUUUGAAAAAAUUAGAGUGUUUAAAGCAAGCUAACGCUUGAAUACAUUAGCAUGGAAUAAUGAAAUAGGACGUUCGAUCCUAUUUUGUUGGUUUCUAGGAUUGACGUAAUGAUUAAUAGGGAUAGUUGGGGGCAUUAGUAUUCAAUUGUCAGAGGUGAAAUUCUUGGAUUUAUUGAAGACUAACUACUGCGAAAGCAUUUGCCAAGGAUGUUUUCAUUAAUCAAGAACGAAAGUUAGGGGAUCGAAGACGAUCAGAUACCGUCGUAGUCUUAACCAUAAACUAUGCCGACUAGGGAUCGGAUGA
rnacentral:rRNA from 1 species